CGAACGGGUGAGUAACAUAUCGGAACGUGCCCAGUAAUGGGGGAUAGCCCGGCGAAAGCCGGAUUAAUACCGCAUACGACCUACGGGUGAAAGCGGGGGACCUGCAAGGGCCUCGCGUUAUUGGAGCGGCCGAUACCAGAUUAGCUAGUUGGUGGGGUAAAGGCUCACCAAGCCUUCGAUCUGUAGCUGGUCUGAGAGGACGACCAGCCACACUGGGACUGAGACACGGCCCAG
rnacentral:rRNA from 1 species